CACCGACAUCAGGGAUUCGUUCUGCGAACCGUUCCCUACCGCCAGAUAAGAGUGCAUACCCAGCUCUUUCAUCUGCUGCUCGCCAAUCACGCGGGUGACGACGUUUUUGCUGUAAGCAUCGGCCAGCUGACGCGCCUGGGAAGCCAGGUACGCGGCGUUACAGAUGUUCGGCGGCAUAUUGCCGAGAUCUUUCGC
rfam:Yokenella regensburgei ATCC 43003 genomic scaffold Scfld3, whole genome shotgun sequence.